GCUCUUUUUGUUCUCCUCCUAUUAUUUUGGUCAGCACUAAGACAAUAUUUCUUUCUCUUCCAACAAUAAUAACGUAACCAUCACUCUCCAGACCCAAUUGCUCCUUUCUUGAAUCCAUUUCCACAAGAUUAUCAAUUUUUCAGAAAACUAGAAAACACUUUCUUGAUACCAUUAUUCUCUCUUUAUGAUCUUUAAGAUUGCACUUCCUUCUUCCUUUUCCUUUUUUUAGAACACCUAACAACUUCACUUUCUCUCUUAUUGUCUUACCCGUUGCCAUUUAGGUCCUUGUAACUCACCAGUAGCCAUUGGAAUCUUUAUCAAACUAGACUUCAUAAAUCGUCUC
rnacentral:lncRNA from 1 species